rnacentral:rRNA from 1 species
UCAGGCCUAACACAUGCAAGUCGAACGGUAACGCGGGGCAACCUGGCGACGAGUGGCGAACGGGUGAGUAAUACAUCGGAACGUGCCCAGUAGUGGGGGAUAGCCCGGCGAAAGCCGGAUUAAUACCGCAUACGACCUACGGGUGAAAGCGGGGGACCGCAAGGCCUCGCGCUAUUGGAGCGGCCGAUGUCAGAUUAGCUAGUUGGUGGGGUAAAGGCCUACCAAGGCGACGAUCUGUAGCUGGCCUGAGAGGACGACCAGCCACACUGGGACUGGGACACGGCCCAGACUCCUACGGGAGGCAGCAGUGGGGAAUUUUGGACAAUGGGGGAAACCCUGAUCCAGCCAUGCCGCGUGCGGGAAGAAGGCCUUCGGGUUGUAAACCGCUUUUGUCGGGGAAGAAACGGUCUGCGCUAAUACCGCGG